GGACCCAUAGCUCAGUCGGUAGAGCACCAGACUCCAGAUCUGGGGGUCAUCCGUUCAAGUCGGGUUGGGUUCA
rfam:Rasamsonia emersonii CBS 393.64 ctg1118621760042, whole genome shotgun sequence.